GAUGAACGCUGACAGAAUGCUUAACACAUCAGCAAUGGAGUGGUGGAAGAGGGGAGAGUAACGCGUAAAGAACUUGCCUCACAGCUGGGGACAACAUUUGGAAACGAAUGAUAAUACGUAAUACUGUGAGAGAGCUUUGCGUACCAUUAGCUAGUUGGGGAGGUAACGUCUCACCAAGGCGAUGAUGGGUAGCCGGCCUGAGAGGGUGAUCGGCAAAAAGGGGACUGAGACACGGCCCUUACCCCUACGGGGGGCAGCAGGGGGGAAUAUUGGACAAUGGGGCAACGUCUGAUACCGCAAUUCUGUGUGCACGAUGAAGGUUGCGGUAUGUAAAGUGCUUUCAGUUGGGAAGCGGUACCAACAGAAGAAGUGCCGGCUAAAUACGUGCCAGCAGCCGCGGUAAUUC
rnacentral:rRNA from 1 species